UACGUAGGGUGCAGGCGUUAAUCGGAAUUACUGGGCGUAAAGCGUGCGCAGGCGGUUCGCCAAGUCAGGUGUGAAAUCCCCGGGCUCAACCUGGGAAUUGCGCUUGAAACUAGCGAGCUUGAGUGUGGCAGAGGGGGGUGGAAUUCCACGUGUAGCAGUGAAAUGCGUAGAGAUGUGGAGGAACACCGAUGGCGAAGGCAGCCCCCUGGGUCAACACUGACGCUCAUGCACGAAAGCGUGGGGAGCAAACAGG
rnacentral:rRNA from 1 species